rnacentral:lncRNA from 1 species
UCUAAAGUAGACUCGAUUAUUCAACUAUAAUCUAUAAAAUUCUAAAGGGUUCCACAUCAAAACAAAACUAAGUUCCUAAGUAUUUGAUCUGGGGAUUGAUGAUGUUGCCACCAGAUGAUCUUCUGCGGUCAAGGAUGAAGUAAUUUCACUCUUUGCAUCAAGACUGAUGUUUGAUCUACUUGCAUUCAACAUAUUAAAAUGCACCCUGUAAAUUCAAAAGAAACAAAAAUUAGCACAAAAGAAUGAGCGAACCAUUAAUAAAAUAUGCAAGUUUGAUUUGUAUAAAUGUAAAUAGAAGUUGAGAGAGAGAAAAACUAUGUCUAGAUAAUUCUUUUACAAGAUUUUUUAGCAUAUAACAAGAGGGAAAAUUCAAAGCAACAAGAUAAGAAAACAAACCUGUAUACUUUUCUAAAAAAAUUUGAAUGGAUUUUCAUCUAAUUUUUAUUUGUAACGUCUUUUCGACGAACUGUGGCUUCUCCCAACAUUACAUUAUAAUCUUCUAGGUUCCACUCAAUACCUAUCACAAUACUGAACAAUAUCUAUCAAAUUGUUAGAAUAUAAAUUCAAAAAUUCAAAUCAAGUAGGUGUAUGAGAUUGAGAAAUUCUAAGAUGUAAAUAUAUAAACAUACUUGGAAAGAGAGAAGGCGCCAGGCUAUCUGGCCAAUGAUUCCGUUGGUUUGCUAUGUACAUGUGAAGAGAGAAAGCGUUGUUGAAAAAGGAAAUGGAAAAAUGGAGGAAAGGGGAUGCAGGAGGAGGCGGCUGGGAAGGGGA